UCCCUGGUAACUCAGCUGGUAGAGAACCUGCCUACAAUGCGGGAGACCCAGGUUCGAUCCCUGGUUUGGGAA